rnacentral:rRNA from 1 species
UACGGAGGGUGCAAGCGUUAUUCGGAAUGACUGGGCGUAAAGCGCACGCAGGCGGUUUGGCAAGUCAGAUGUGAAAGCCCCGGGCUUAACCUGGGAAUUGCAUUUGAAACUGUCAGGCUAGAGUAUGAAAGAGGGAAGCGGAAUUUCCAGUGUAGCAGUGAAAUGCGUAGAUAUUGGAAGGAACACCGAUGGCGAAGGCAGCUUUCUGGGUCAAUACUGACGCUCAUGUGCGAAAGCGUGGGUAGCAAACGGG